UACGUAGGGAGCAAGCGUUAUCCGGAAUCAUUGGGCGUAAAGCGCGCGUAGGUGGCCUCAUAAGUCCGCUGUGAAAGUCCAAGGCUCAACCUUGGAAAGCCGGUGGAUACUGUGAGGCUAGAGUACGGAAGAGGCGAGUGGAAUUCCUGGUGUAGCGGUGGAAUGCGCAGAUAUCAGGAGGAACACCAAUAGCGAAGGCAGCUCGCUGGGACGUUACUGACACUGAGGCGCGAAAGCGUGGGGAGCGAACAGG
rnacentral:rRNA from 1 species